UCCAAUGAUUAAUAUACCAACAUGUUAUAGGAGAUUUUACACAAAUUCUGGACAUUCUUAUAUAUGUUGUUUUCUCAGGUCAAUAUCAUACAUAAAAGAUGAUUAGUACUGUGUAGAAUUCUUCAUUUAUAUGGCAUCUCAGCCAAAAUGAAGACUAUGGAGACAAGAGGAAGUAAUGAUGAUGCAUGUGGUUCAUGAAGUGACUUUUUCCAAUAUGACUUUCUCUCCCUCCCUGAGAUUCAGAAAAGGAGUUACAAAUUUUCUGAAAAUAUGUUUGAUUGAUUUUGGCAUGACUUGUGUUGGGAAGGAGCUUGUUAAAGAUGCUGCCAAAAUUGCUAAAGGUUUAUGUUCGCUCGACUGGAGGUAGAUUCGUCCAAUGUUUUUCCCCACAAAUCCGAAUUUUGUCUGGGGAAUCUCCACGCCUCUGCAGACAGAUCCUACACAAUAGUCAAGAUACAUUCAUCCUAUAUUUGACACAUUCAGAAAAGGAGCAUCCCAACCAUUCAAGGAACAAAAGAGAGCCAUGUUGGCAAGAUUAAAGAGUUUAGUUAAUUAAGCAUCGCAGCAGUCUAUCUAUUUUUGUCAGUGACACUACAACUCCGUCUUUUUGUUGAUUUAUGUUAGGUAUCACUAAUAGUUUACUGAUAAAUGGUUAUGUCGCUCGAGUUGAGCCGUCCUGUUAAGUUGUACUCAAGUUUUUUGUGAGAUUUUGUUUGUUUUAAAUUGGAUGUUUCAAAAAUUAUGUUUGAUUCCUGGUCGGUGCAUAUGGAGAAGCAUAAUUUGUUGGGAGAGGUCAAUCCAUUAAAUAGAUUUCAGUUACCUCGAGGAAAAUAUCUACUUGUUCCAAAAACUUUCAGUCGGGCAAAUACCAACGCCCAAACCACCACUCAGCCGGAGUGCUCAUCCCCAUAUGUUUUUCCAACCGCAUCAUCAAUAAGCAUUAAUCUUUGAUUCUUGAGACAAAUUCUCUAUAUAUCUUAUCUUACUAUGGAAAAGUAAAACCUAGCUAAUAGUUAAUAAGAAUGAAAUACUAAUGCAAAAAGUUCAGAAUUUUUUAUGUCGCGGGAACUAUGGCAUAGUAAAUUAAAAGCCAAAAUAUAGGACUCAAUUUAGUGAAAUGUCAGUUGUUAGAUUAAAGCCAACCAAAGAUUAUGUAAACAGUCUAUGAGUCCUUGACAGUUGCAACAAAAAUACUUUCAACCCGAAUUAAUGGAAAGGCUAAAUUGCACUUUUGGCCGCCUAAUUGUCAGAAAGUUGCGAUUUUGGUCCCCUAUAUUUCAAAAUAGCACUUUUGUCCCCCUAUAUUUACCCUUUUUGGUCCUUAUGUUUCAAAAUCGCAACUUUCUGAAACUUAGGGGACCAAAAGUGCAAUUUAACCUAUAUAAAAAACACUUGUAAUGAAUGAAAUUAAUAACCAGUUAAACCUGAAGGUGUUUAUAGUAGACCAUUCUUCUGCUAUAUAGUUACAAAUAUUAGGAAAUUUUUAAUAAAAGUGUGUAGUUAAAAA